UGGGGAAUUUUGGACAAUGGGCGAAAGCCUGAUCCAGCAAUGCCGCGUGUGUGAAGAAGGCCUUCGGGUUGUAAAGCACUUUUGUCCGGAAAGAAAUCCUUGGCUCUAAUACAGUCGGGGGAUGACGGUACCGGAAGAAUAAGCACCGGCUAACUACGUGCCAGCAGCCGCGGUAAUACGUAGGGUGCAAGCGUUAAUCGGAAUUACUGGGCGUAAAGCGUGCGCAGGCGGUUUGCUAAGACCGAUGUGAAAUCCCCGGGCUCAACCUGGGAACUGCAUUGGUGACUGGCAGGCUAGAGUAUGGCAGAGGGGGGUAGAAUUCCACGUGUAGCAGUGAAAUGCGUAGAGAUGUGGAGGAAUACCGAUGGCGAAGGCAGCCCCCUGGGCCAAUACUGACGCUCAUGCACGAAAAGCGUGGGGAGCAAACAGGAUUAGAUACCCUGGUAGUCCACGCCCUAAAACGAUGUCAACUAGUUGUUGGGGAUUCAUUUCCUUAGUAACGUAGCUAACGCGUGAAGUUGACCGCCUGGGGAGUACGGUCGCAAGAUUAAAACUUAAAGGAAUUGACGGGGUCAUAGCUGUUUCCU
rnacentral:rRNA from 1 species